rnacentral:rRNA from 1 species
GAUGAACGCUAGCGAUAGGCUUAACACAUGCAAGUCGAGGGGCAGCAUGGUCUUAGCUUGCUAAGACUGAUGGCGACCGGCGCACGGGUGCGUAACGCGUAUGCAACUUGCCUCACAGAGGGGGAUAACCCGUCGAAAGACGGACUAAUACCGCGUACACUUGGGAUAGGGCAUCCUGACCCAAGGAAAUGAAAUUCGCUGUGAGAUAGGCAUGCGUCCCAUUAGCUAGUUGGUGAGGUAACGGCUCACCAAGGCGACGAUGGGUAGGGGAACUGAGAGGUUGAACCCCCACACUGGUACUGAGACACGGACCAGACUCCUACGGGAGGAAGCAGUGAGGAAUAUUGGUCAAUGGGCGAGAGCCUGAACCAGCCAAGUCGCGUGAAGGAUGACUGUCUUAUGGAUUGUAAACUUCUUUUAUACGGGAAUAACAAGAGCCACGUGUGGCUCCCUGCAUGUACCGUAUGAAUAAGCAUCGGCUAACUCCGUG